AGGGAAUGACAACAGCAGGAGGUUGCAGAUACAGUAAGGCCAUUCCUUUAGGUCUUGGAGGGCGCUUGGAUACUGAUGCUAACUAUGGCAUCCAGAAAGUUUUGCUUCCACAGCUGGUGUUGUAAUUAAUGUGCAAUGGACCUCGAAUACCUUCUCCUAGGAUCAUAUAUGUAGAGGCAUAUGUUGACGAUAACAUAAAGGACAAAGAUGUUGAUGCUUUUGGAAGAUGUUUUUACCAGUUAAUGUAUCAGCUUUGUGUGUAAUGAAGUGUUAAUAGCAUAGAUGCUCUCAAGCUUUCACCUUUGAGCCCUUGGCGUGCAUGGUAUGAUGAUGGGGAGGUUGGAGGGAUGGAUCCAAGAAUAUGCUGGACUCACGUUUGUGGCUAUAAGGGGUGCAGGGCAUGAAGUUCCUUUGCAUAAACCAAAACUUGCUCUUGCACUUUUCAAAGCCUUCUUAGCAGGAACCUCUAUGCCUACCCUUGAGCUAGUCAGUGCCUCUUGAAAUUUACAUUCUUUUACAUUUGUUUUUUUCCAUGGAAUCUUCCUCAAUAAUGUUGUCCCUUAUUCCUCAAAUUGUACACAUCACAGCAUAUGAUCUUUCCAAAGUGCAUCUAAUUUGAGCUUUU